CCUACGGGAGGCAGCAGUAAGGAAUUUUGCACAAUGGGCGAAAGCCUGAUGCAGCAACGCCGCGUGAACGAUGAAGUUUUUAGGAAUGUAAAGUUCUGUCGUAUGGGAAGAGAUCUUUCGAAUGUUAAUACCAUUCGUUAAUGACGGUACCAUACAAGAAAGCACCGGCUAACUUCGUGCCAGCAGCCGCGGUAAU
rnacentral:rRNA from 2 species